rnacentral:rRNA from 1 species
UCCUACGGGAGGCAGCAGUGGGGAAUAUUGGACAAUGGGCGAAAGCCUGAUCCAGCAAUGCCGCGUGAGUGAUGAAGGCCUUAGGGUUGUAAAGCCCUUUUACCCGGGAUGAUAAUGACAGUACCGGGAGAAUAAGCCCCGGCUAACUCCGUGCCAGCAGCCGCGGUAAU